rnacentral:lncRNA from 1 species
GUAAGAUACUACUAUUUGAAAGCCCUCACUAAAUUCAUAAUUAAGUCGUAGUGUUAAUUGCUUUAAGCUGAGCCAUUCUGAAUCAAUUGACUAAGUUGGUGUCUAGGAAAGAGGCUACAGGUGGUUAUUUAAUUAGGACCUUACUAAGUAAGGAGAGCCUCCCAUCUGCUUACCUGGCCAACUAUUUGAUUGACCUCCAUGGAAAAGCUAAUUGCUGAUAUAACACUAUAAAGGUCCUUCCUUCAUGCUUAGAUAUUAUUAUGUCAAUAUCUAUGCUAGCUUGUUGUGAUUCCCACAAGGCUAGUAUUAGGGAUUGAUAUUGUAAUAUC